rnacentral:tRNA from 1 species
UCCAUAGUAACUCAGUCGGUAAAGAAUCUGCCUGCAAUGCAGGAGACCCGGGUUUGAUUCCUGGGUCAGGAA